UCAGGACGAACGCUGGCGGCGCGCCUAACACAUGCAAGUCGAACGAGCGAGAGAGAGCUUGCUUUCUCGAGCGAGUGGCGAACGGGUGAGUAACGCGUGAGGAACCUGCCUCAAAGAGGGGGACAACAGUUGGAAACGACUGCUAAUACCGCAUAAGCCCACGGCUCGGCAUCGAGCAGGGGGAAAAGGAGCAAUCCGCUUUGAGAUGGCCUCGCGUCCGAUUAGCUAGUUGGUGAGGUAACGGCCCACCAAGGCGACGAUCGGUAGCCGGACUGAGAGGUUGAACGGCCACAUUGGGACUGAGACACGGCCCAGACUCCUACGGGAGGCAGCAGUGGGGAAUAUUGCACAAUGGGGGAAACCCUGAUGCAGCGACGCCGCGUGGAGGAAGAAGGUCUUCGGAUUGUAAACUCCUGUUGUUGGGGAAGAUAAUGACGGUACCCAACAAGGAAGUGACGGCUAACUACGUGCCAGCAGCCGCGGUAAAACGUAGGUCACAAGCGUUGUCCGGAAUUACUGGGUGUAAAGGGAGCGCAGGCGGGAAGACAAGUUGGAAGUGAAAUCUAUGGGCUCAACCCAUAAACUGCUUUCAAAACUGUUUUUCUUGAGUAGUGCAGAGGUAGGCGGAAUUCCCGGUGUAGCGGUGGAAUGCGUAGAUAUCGGGAGGAACACCAGUGGCGAAGGCGGCCUACUGGGCACCAACUGACGCUGAGGCUCGAAAGUGUGGGUAGCAAACAGGAUUAGAUACCCUGGUAGUCCACACCGUAAACGAUGAUUACUAGGUGUUGGAGGAUUGACCCCUUCAGUGCCGCAGUUAACACAAUAAGUAAUCCACCUGGGGAGUACGACCGCAAGGUUGAAACUCAAAGGAAUUGACGG
rnacentral:rRNA from 1 species